rnacentral:rRNA from 1 species
UACGUAGGGGCAAGCGUUGUCCGGAAUGAUUGGGCGUAAAGGGCGCGUAGGCGGCUUUGUAAGUCUGGAGUGAAAGUCCUCUUUUCAAGGGAGGAAUUGCUUUGGAAACUAUAGAGCUUGAGUGCAGGAGAGGUUAUCGGAAUUCCCGGUGUAACGGUGAAAUGCGUAGAUAUCGGGAGGAACAUCGGUGGCGAAGGCGGGUAACUGGACUGCAACUGACGCUGAGGCGCGAAAGUGUGGGGAGCAAACAGGAUUAGAUACCCGCGUAGUCCCUGAGCGGG